CCUACGGGAGGCAGCAGUGGGGAAUAUUGCACAAUGGGGGAAACCCUGAUGCAGCGACGCCGCGUGAGUGAAGAAGUAUUUCGGUACGUAAAGCUCUAUCAGCAGGGAAGAAAAUGACGGUACCUGACUAAGAAGCCCCGGCUAACUACGUGCCAGCAGCCGCGGUAAUACGUAGGGAGCAAGCGUUAUCCGGAUUUACUGGGUGUAAAGGGAGCGUAGACGGCAGCGCAAGUCUGGAGUGAAAUGCCAGGGCUUAACCAUGGAACUGCUUUGGAAACUGUGCAGCUAGAGGGCAGGAGAGGUUAGCGGAAUUCCUUGUGUAGCGGUGAAAUGCGUAGAUAUUAGGAGGAACCCCAGUGGCGAAGGCGGCUUACUGGACUGUAACCGACGUUGAGGCUCGAAAGCGUGGGGAGCAAACAGGAUUAGAUACCCGGGUAGUC
rnacentral:rRNA from 1 species